rnacentral:rRNA from 1 species
GACGAACGCUGGCGGCGUGCUUAACACAUGCAAGUCGAGCGGUAAGGCCCUUUCGGGGGUACACGAGCGGCGAACGGGUGAGUAACACGUGGGUGACCUGCCCUCAGCUCUGGGAUAAGCCUGGGAAACUGGGUCUAAUACUGGAUAUGACUCCACGGUGCAUGUCGUGGGGUGAAAGCCUUGUGCGGCUGAGGAUGGGCCCGCGGCCUAUCAGCUUGUUGGUGGGGUGANGGGCCUACCAAGGCGACGACGGGUAGCCGGCCUGAGAGGGCGACCGGCCACACUGGGACUGAGACACGGCCCAGACUCCUACGGGAGGCAGCAGUGGGGAAUCUUGCGCAAUGGGCG